ACGGGAGGCAGCAGUGGGGAAUAUUGCACAAUGGGGGAAACCCUGAUGCAGCGACGCCGCGUGAGCGAAGAAGUAUUUCGGUAUGUAAAGCUCUAUCAGCAGGGAAGAAAAUGACGGUACCUGACUAAGAAGCCCCGGCUAACUACGUGCCAGCAGCCGCGGUAAUACGUAGGGGGCAAGCGUUAUCCGGAUUUACUGGGUGUAAAGGGAGCGUAGACGGAGCAGCAAGUCUGAUGUGAAAACCCGGGGCUCAACCCCGGGACUGCAUUGGAAACUGUUGAUCUGGAGUGCCGGAGAGGUAAGCGGAAUUCCUAGUGUAGCGGUGAAAUGCGUAGAUAUUAGGAGGAACACCAGUGGCGAAGGCGGCUUACUGGACGGUAACUGACGUUGAGGCUCGAAAGCGUGGGGAGCAAACAGGAUUAGAUACCCUGGUAGUCCACGCCGUAAACGAUGACUACUAGGUGUCGGGUGGCAAAGCCAUUCGGUGCC
rnacentral:rRNA from 1 species